CAGCAGUAGCCGCGGGAAUACGAAGGUCCCAAGCGUUGUUCGGAAUCACUGGGCGUAAAGGGAGCGUAGGCGGCGUGGUAAGUCAGAUGUGAAAUCCCGGGGCUCAACCCCGGAACUGCAUCCGAUACUGCCAUGCUUGAGGGUUGGAGAGGUGACUGGAAUUCUCGGUGUAGCAGUGAAAUGCGUGGAUAUCGAGAGGAACACUCGUGGCGAAGGCGAGUCACUGGACAACAUCUGACGCUGAGGCUCGAAGGCUAGGGUAGCGAAAGGGAUUAGAUACCCCGGUAGUCCCUGUCUCUUAUAC
rnacentral:rRNA from 1 species